ACACGGGAAGCGCUCCGCGGCGCCCGCCCUCGUCUGGCGCAGAGACCUGGCUGGAAAGACACAGCGUGGCUUCGAUUCCGGCGCCUGCGUGUCACCAGCCCAGGGUGGCCGUGGAAGCUGGACCCGAGCCGCAGGCCCCCCAGGCUGGGCCUGGGAGGAAAGCGGUUUGAAAAAGAUCGGAACUGAGGAACUCUCUUAGAGCGGGGGACUCCCUGCUCCUACAGCCUUAACCAAUGCCCAGCGCUUGGAAAGUGGAGGACUCGGGGAUUCGGGAGCGUUUCAGGCCUGGGGAAAUGGAAGGGUCGGGGACCUAGGUGAAAGGUUAUUUGCCAGAAAUGUCUUGGCUUUUUCAUUUAUUCUGUCUUACCUAGCCCUUCGCCGCCACCUCCAGUCGUUGGCCUCUUACCACCUUCAAAUGCCACCUUUUCCGGAAGAUGUAGCCCUGCGCCCUUGAAACUGGCAAACCCUAUUAGUGUCUGCAAGCUGAGAUGCAGGGUGUGGGCAUAGACACAGAUCAAGAGAUCCGGCCCUGGACCCUCUUGGGCAGAACCUUGCCCUUCUCAUUUCACCUGAAGCCCAAACUUUGUAUGGCAAAGACUUGGUAAUGAUCUCUAUAGAGCUAGGAUUACACAGUUGUCUCAUCCUUUGGGGGCCCUUUAGCCAAACUGUGACCUCCUUAAUGGUGCCUUCGUCAGCUAACAUUAGGCGCCCUGAGGUGCUUCUGCAUACUGCCAUCGUUUACAAUUACUCAUCUUUGUGUACACACCCUAGCACAAGGUCAGCCAUAUAACAUAAAAGAUGCUCAGUGAAUGUUGAGUAAUUGUGAGCAUCUGGAACUUGCCGUGGGAUAAAACGCGUUCAUUGGGAUUUCUUCAUAAUAAUAUGAAGAUUCCAUUUAGCGCCUCUCUGCAAUACUUAAACGUAACCUUUGAGGGGAGAGGGAAAAGAAAAGGCAUGAAAAUAUCUAUAGAGCCAUUUCUGGUGUUCUCCUUCCCUUUUCCACACCCGCCUUCCCACCCCUUGCCAACUAAAUGUUCAUUUGAAUAGUGCUUUUUGGCAAAAUUCCAAACUCCUGCAUUAUGCACUUGUGAUGACACUGAAUUAGAUUAGUGUCUGCAAGGUUAAUGUUCCCUCAGGCAUUAACCUUAGUAAAUCGUGAUGCCUGUUUAGAAAUAGCUAAGGCCCAGAGGUUCAGCUUAAUUUAGACACAGGUAACUAAGAGCAAGAGUAAACCACAGCUCCACAAUCAACUCUCUCUGUGUGCUUUCUCCAUUAAAAAAUAUAAAUUUUAAUAAGAUGACCGCACAUAUUCUGAAUGUUAAUUGCAACAAAACAAUGACACAAGUUAGAGCCAAGGGACAGUUAUCUGGAGGACAGCCUUCUGGCAACUUCUAGCACCCGCAGUGGCAUCAAAUUCAGACGUCAUAAUGAAAAACACCUCUGGCAGCAAGAAAGCCGACUCUCAGUAUUAGGCAGUGGGAAAACUAAUAACUGAAAAGGGCUCAAGGCCUGGAGGUUACAUCCAAUGGGCUAGGAUUGAUUGGUUUGCUAUUAGGAAUAGAUCUAGUUCUCUGCUCAGCAGCCUAACAAGCGAUAGAGAAACAGCUGUCUAAAAUGGGCAGAACGAAGAGCACUACAGGGAUAGUAACAGCAAAAGCGAUGGUGAGGAGCAAGCUUAGGUCCUUUAUAAGUUAAACUGGAAAAACUUCUCAGCUUCAGGUUGGCUCUCCAUGCUCCUCUUGCUCACUUCCCUAAACACCACCCGUAGGUACUCAGCCUACUUACUUUUCCUUUUUUUUUUUUUUAACUUUUUAUUUUGAAAUAAUUAUAGACUCACAAGAAGUUGCAAAAAUAGUCCAGAGUCCCAUGCUUUCCCCAAUGGUGACAUCUUACAAAGCUCUAGUAAGACAUCAAAAUCAGUGUCAACCUAAAUAACAGAGAGGCUUUCUAAAAGAAAAUAAUGUUUAUUUGGGAAUAGAGCAUUGCAAUGAAAAUAUACACAUCACAGUUAACCGCAUAUUCAGGGAUGUAAAGGAAGACAAAGGUGUUUAAAGGAAAAAAUGGAAAGGAUUACAUAAUUGUUUUGAAAUAAUUAUCCUUGACUACAAAGAUCAAUAACAAGGGUGACGCCAGUCCGAGGUUGGACAGGCAUUUGCUGGGGAGAUGUCCUUGCAGAAGUAUUUUUUUAUGUAAGGUUGUGAUGGCCUUUGUGCAAGGUUGUGGGUUUUGCAGUCUUUUUUUGAUAGUUUUUGUUAUCAGGUAUACAAAUGUAAGAACCCUCUCUUCGUAGGCAGCCUUCCCUAGCUCUGUUUGUCAGGGUUUCUUAACAUUAGUAACUCCAUUUUGAUUGUGACAACUUUCACACCAGGAAAUCGACAACAGUACAUUACUGUUUACUAUAGACUUCAGAACUUAUUACUUGCCAUUUUCUUAACCUGUGUUCUGUUUUGUGUGUGUGUGUGUGUGUGUGUGUGUGUGUGUGUGGUUCAAUGCAACUUUACCUCACUUACAGAUCCUUGUAACCACUCCUAUAAUGAAGACAUAGAACUGUUCCAUCACCACAAAAGAACUCCCUCAUACUACCUUUUGGUAUUCACAAAUCCCCUUCCGCACUGCAACCGCUCACCCAACUCCAUGCCUGUCCUCUAGUAACCACUAAACUAUUCUCCAUCUCUAUACUUUCAUCAUUUCAAAAAUGUUAUCUAAGUGGAAUCAUACAGCAUGUAAACUUUUGAGAUUGAUGUUUUAACCUAAACAUAAAGGUCCACAGCUCAAGCAAAUCUAAAGGGCACAGACACUUCCAGCUGAUGGUUUCCAAGGGGGAAUGUAAUAUUUAGGAAAUCAAGAGAAGUCAGGAAUCUGAGUUUUGGGGUGAAACCUCACAAAUAUUAAAUGUUGACAACUCAUUCUGUUUUUUUUUAAGAACACAAAAGCAUGUCAGACAAAACAUGCCUGUGGGCCAGAUUAAGUCCAUAGCCCCCGGUAUAUCUUCUCUGAUGUGACCUAACCCAUAGAGGCUGGCACCGCUGUUCUGACAGGUGAGAUUCUCAGGGACUCCCAAGGCCUCUUUCCUCUCUUCUGGCUCUGGAAUUAGUUCUGAGGCUUGGUCUUUGCACUCCUUCCAGGAGAAGAAUGUACUUCCAUCUCUUUCCUGCUUCACCAGGUCUUCAGACCCUCCUCUAGUAAUCUCUUUCCUUCCUUUUUUCUAGUAUUCUCAGACUCAAGACUAGAUGGAAGUUCUGUCUUCUCUAUCCUUAUGGCUCCCUGCAGCACUAGCCAUUCGUCAAAGCUGGUUCUACCUUAAGGAUAAACUUGUCCUUUUCUUUGCAAAACUCUAAAUUCAUAGCUUUGCUACAGAUUAAUCCACAAGAACCUGCCUCUACUGCGUCACUCCUACUGUACCCAGAAAAAUAUGGCUUUUCCUGUUCCUAAAGGAGUUCUUUUCCUGGGACAUCCUGGGACCCCCUGAAUUCCUGCUUCAGAUAUGCUUCAGGCCUGGGGAAAUGGAAGGGUUGGGGACCUAGGUGAAAGGUUAUUUGCCAGAAAUUUCUUAGCUUUUUUGUUUAUUCUCUCUUACCUAGCCCUCCGCUGGAGGGCAAAGGGCAUCCCAGAUAGCUGAUAUAUUCUAAAACUAAUGAAUAGUCUACUGUCUCCUGCUGAGGAUAUAGAGUGGAGGUAAUUUCUUGAGUUUGAGACAAAAAACCCUGCACCUCUUAGAAACAUCUAAAGAAGGUACUAGGUUGCACUAAAGUUCAUCAGUUGUGAGAUAACUAUGGUUUAGAGGGGCACAAGGGAAGACACCACUGAAAGGCCAAGAUACAUAAGAAUGAAUGAAAAUGAGGUCUUGGGCCAGGAUGAUAUUUGUGGGUAAGGAAAAAAUAAAUAAUAUGAGGAUAAUAUCUACUAGUGCCUAGAGGUUAGUCUGGUGAUUAAGUCCACAGAUUCUGCAGCUGAAGCCAGGGUUUGAAUCCUGACUCUACCACUUACUGGCUUUGCAAUCUUAAGUUACUUAACCUCUCUGUGCUGUCAAGUGCCCCAUCUAGCAAAUGGAGCUAAGAAUAGUACCUUCUUUUUAGGGAUAUUAUGGCUAUUAAAUAUUAACAUAGAGUAGUUUAGUGUUUGUUUAUUUAUUUAUUUAUUUUAGAGACAAGGUCUCUGUUGCCCAGGCUGGAAGGCAGUGGUACAAUCAUAGUUCACUGCAGCCUCAAACUCCCAGGCUCAAGUGAUCCUCCCACCUCAGCCUCCUGAGUACCUGGGACUACAAGUGUGCACCACCAUGCCUGGCUGAUUUUUGUAUUUUUGUAGCAAUAGGAUCUGGCAGUAUUGCCCAGGCUGAUCUCAAAGUCCUGGCCUCAAAGCGAGCCUCCCAGCUCGGCCUCCCUAAAUACUGGGAUUACAGGCAUGAACCACCACACCUGGCAAUGUAAAGCAGUUAGAACAAUAACUGACACAUAGUUAAAUGUUCUAUGUGGUGUUGAUAUUGUAGUUGCUAUUAUUACUAUUUAAAAUAACCUAAAGGUAACACUGAACCAAAUUUCCUAAAAAU
rnacentral:lncRNA from 1 species